AGUGAACGCUGGCGGCAGGCCUAACACAUGCAAGUCGAGCGGCAGCGCGGGGGCAACCCUGGCGGCGAGCGGCGGACGGGUGAGGAAUACAUCGGAAUCUGCCUUGUUGUGGGGGAUAACGUAGGGAAACUUACGCUAAUACCGCAUAAGACCGAAAGGUGAAAGUGGGGGACCGCAAGGCCUCACGCGACAAGAUGAGCCGAUGUCGGAUUAGCUAGUUGGUGAGGUAACGGCUCACCAAGGCGACGAUCCGUAGCUGGUCUGAGAGGAUGAUCAGCCACACUGGGACUGAGACACGGCCCAGACUCCUACGGGAGGCAGCAGUGGGGAAUAUUGGACAAUGGGCGCAAGCCUGAUCCAGCCAUGCCGCGUGUGUGAAGAAGGCCUCGGUUGUAAGCACUUUGUUGGUAAAGAAAUACGUACGGGUGAAUACCCGUGCGGAUGACGGUACCCAAAGAAUAAGACACCGGCUAACUUCGUGCCAGCAGCCGCGGUAACAA
rnacentral:rRNA from 1 species